GAUGAACGCUGGCGGCGUGCUUAACACAUGCAAGUCGAGCGAGUGAGUUCUUCGGAACAAUCUAGCGGCGGACGGGUGAGUAACACGUGGGCAACCUGCCUCAUAGAGGGGAAUAGCCUCCCGAAAGGGAGAUUAAUACCGCAUAAAAUUGUCGAGUGGCAUCACAUGAUAAUCAAAGGAGUAAUCCGCUAUGAGAUGGGCCCGCGGCGCAUUAGCUAGUUGGUGAGGUAACGGCUCACCAAGGCGACGAUGCGUAGCCGACCUGAGAGGGUGAUCGGCCACAUUGGGACUGAGACACGGCCCAGACUCCUACGGGAGGCAGCAGUGGGGAAUAUUGCACAAUGGGGGAAACCCUGAUGCAGCAACGCCGCGUGAGUGAUGAAGGUCUUCGGAUUGUAAAGCUCUGUCUUUGGGGACGAUAAUGACGGUACCCAAGGAGGAAGCCACGGCUAACUACGUGCCAGCAGCCGCCGCCG
rnacentral:rRNA from 1 species